rnacentral:rRNA from 1 species
GACGAACGCUGGCGGCGUGCUUAACACAUGCAAGUCGAACGGAAAGGCCCUGCUUUUGUGGGGUGCUCGAGUGGCGAACGGGUGAGUAACACGUGAGUAACCUGCCCUUGACUUUGGGAUAACUUCAGGAAACUGGGGCUAAUACCGGAUUGGAGCUCCUGCUGCAUGGUGGGGGUUGGAAAGUUUCGGCGGUUGGGGAUGGACUCGCGGCUUAUCAGCUUGUUGGUGGGGUAGUGGCUUACCAAGGCUUUGACGGGUAGCCGGCCUGAGAGGGUGACCGGCCACAUUGGGACUGAGAUACGGCCCAGACUCCUACGGGAGGCAGCAGUGGGGAAUACUGCACAAUGGGCGGAAGCCUGAUGCAGCAACGCCGCGUGCGGGAUGACGGCCUUCGGGUUGUAAACCGCUUUCGCCUGUGACGAAGCGUGAGUGACGGUAAUGGGUAAAGAAGCACCGGCUAACUACGUG